rnacentral:rRNA from 1 species
UGUGAGGGGAGUGAAAUAGAACCUGAAACCGUGUACGUACAAGCAGUAGGAGCACCUUCGUGGUGUGACUGCGUACCUUUUGUAUAAUGGGUCAGCGACUUAUAUUCAGUGGCAAGGUUAACCGUAUAGGGGAGCCGUAGCGAAAGCGAGUCUUAACUGGGCGCUCAGUCUCUGGAUAUAGACCCGAAACCGGGUGAUCUAGCCAUGGGCAGGUUGAAGGUUGAGUAACAUCAACUGGAGGACCGAACCGACUAAUGUUGAAAAAUUAGCGGAUGACUUGUGGCUAGGGGUGAAAGGCCAAUCAAACUCGGAGAUAGCUGGUUCUCCCCGAAAGCUAUUUAGGUAGCGCCUCGGACGAAUACUACUGGGGGUAGAGCACUGUUAAGGCUAGGGGGUCAUCCCGACUUACCAACCCUUUGCAAACUCCGAAUACCAGUAAGUACUAUCCGGGAGACACACGGCGGGUGCUAACGUCCGUCGUGGAGAGGGAAACAACCCAGACCGCCAGCUAAGGUCCCAAAGUAUUGCUAAGUGGGAAACGAUGUGGGAAGGCUCAGACAGCUAGGAUGUUGGCUUAGAAGCAGCCAUCAUUUAAAGAAAGCGUAAUAGCUCACUAGUCGAGUCGGCCUGCGCGGAAGAUGUAACGGGGCUAAGCAAUACACCGAAGCUGCGGCAAUGUCUUUUAGACAUUGGGUAGGGGAGCGUUCUGUAAGCCGUUGAAGGUGAAUCGUAAGGUUUGCUGGAGGUAUCAGAAGUGCGAAUGCUGACAUGAGUAACGACAAAGGGGGUGAAAAACCUCCUCGCCGGAAGACCAAGGGUUCCUGUCCAACGUUAAUCGGGGCAGGGUGAGUCGACCCCUAAGGUGAGGCCGAAAGGCGUAAUCGAUGGGAAACGGGUUAAUAUUCCCGUACUUCUGACUAUUGCGAUGGGGGGACGGAGAAGGCUAGGUGGGCCAGGCGACGGUUGUCCUGGUUCAAGUGCGUAGGCUUGAGAGUUAGGUAAAUCCGGCUCUCUCUAAGGCUGAGACACGACGUCGAGCUACUACGGUAGUGAAGUCAUUGAUGCCAUGCUUCCAGGAAAAGCCUCUAAGCUUCAGAUAGUCAGGAAUCGUACCCCAAACCGACACAGGUGGUCGGGUAGAGAAUACCAAGGCGCUUGAGAGAACUCGGGUGAAGGAACUAGGCAAAAUGGUACCGUAACUUCGGGAGAAGGUACGCUCUUGAUGGUGAAGUCCCUCGCGGAUGGAGCUGACGAGAGUCGCAGAUACCAGGUGGCUGCAACUGUUUAUUAAAAACACAGCACUGUGCAAAAUCGCAAGAUGACGUAUACGGUGUGACGCCUGCCCGGUGCCGGAAGGUUAAUUGAUGGGGUUAGCGCAAGCGAAGCUCUUGAUCGAAGCCCCGGUAAACGGCGGCCGUAACUAUAACGGUCCUAAGGUAGCGAAAUUCCUUGUCGGGUAAGUUCCGACCUGCACGAAUGGCGUAAUGAUGGCCACGCUGUCUCCACCCGAGACUCAGUGAAAUUGAAAUCGCUGUGAAGAUGCAGUGUACCCGCGGCUAGACGGAAAGACCCCGUGAACCUUUACUACAGCUUGGCACUGAACAUUGAACCUACAUGUGUAGGAUAGGUGGGAGGCUAUGAAGA